AGCUAAGGUUGCAGUGAGCCAAGAUCACACCAUCGCACUCCAGCGUGGGCAGCAGAGUGAGACUCCAUCUCAAAAACAAAACAAACCAAAAGCAAAAUGAAAAGAACAAACAUCACAGAAUCAAAUAUUUAGGUAAUGGGAAAAUAAAUCUCAACUCACAGCUCCAAAAUCCAAAGAGCUCUGAAAAUCACAAACUUUUCCUUAACUCCUGACUUGAAUUAAUAUCAAGCUAGAUACAGUCCUUAAUUCUUCCAUUAAAUGGGAAAUGGGUAUACCUUCCCUAGAAAAUUAUAAGUGGUUUGAUUAUAGGGUGCUGCCCACAACGUGCUGAGCAUGCUACCUAAUAUCACCUGUACCAUAUCGCCUUUCUACAACGACAAAUUAGGCUGGGUGCUCACGCCUGUAUUCCCAGCACUUUGGGAGGCCAAGGUGGGAAGAUUUAUUGAGGCCAGGAGUUUAAGACCAGCCUGGGCAAUAUAGUGAGACCCCUUCCCGUCUUAAAAACAAGCCAAAAAAACCAAAUCAUGAAACAUUUCUGGCUCCUGAGCUUCCCAGAUAAGGGGAUGUAGACAGGUGCUGAUAACCACACACAUCUAGUGAACACCUGUACUUGAGAUGUUGUCUUGGGAAAAGCUCUCAACCCACUUGUGAAGAAGAGAGCAGUAUCCCCUUCUCGCCUGGGAGGAAAACUGAAGCUCAGAGGCCUUGUGUUAGAGGUCAAGUUAGAAACCACAGAACCCACCCUAGCUAGUUUAAGCAGAAAACAAAUUUAUGGAAGGUCAGGUCACUGGUAGCAGAAUCCUUGGAAGAUCCAGGAAUCCGGCUUCGGGGCCUCAAGUCCAGGAAAUGUGCUGAGGUUUCCUUCAGGGAGCUCUAGUGAGCACAUUCUUUCUCCACAACCUCACUGGUACCAAGGAUAUUAAACAGGGUAAUAUUUGCCCAUGAAACUGCUCCCCCCUCAAAAUAUCUCACUGUUGCUUGAUUUGCAUUUUGCGACUGUGAGUUUGGCCAUCCAUUGCUUUAACAACACUUGAAUCUCUUUUUCUAUAAUCACAUCUUUUGUCUCCCACCCCUCUUUUUUGUCUUACUCUGUUGCCCAGUUUGGGGUGCAGUGGCAUGAUCACAGCUCACUGCAUCCUCAACUUCCCAGGCUCAAGCCGCCCCCCCACCUCAGCCUCCCAAGUAGCUGAGACUAUAGGUGGGGGUCACCAUGCCCAACAAAUUAAAAGACAUGCAGAGAGACGAGGGUCUCACUAAGUUACCCUGGCUGGUCUUAAACUCCUGGGCUCAAGCCAUCCUCCUGCCUCGGCCUCCUAAAAUGCUGGAAUGACAGGCGUGAGCUACCACGUCUGGCUGUUGAGUGGGUUAUUGUCUCCUCUAAAAAUUGAGUCAUGUAUUUGUGCUCCCUCCCUGGGCAUUUGAUGCUGGUGACCAGUCCCUGCUCCAGGCGCCCCACAGGGCAGGACCCACCCUCCUGGAAGCAGUUCCACUAACCUGGGGAAAGCCCAGAUGGCAAAGGAAGGCGUUGAUUGCAGCCUGGGAUGGCUGGAAGCACUCAGAAGAGGACAAGUCACAACUGCGCUUCAGUUUGCUGACCUCUGGAAAGGCAACCCUGAUGCUUGCUGGCGGGUGAACCCCCGGGCAGGUUUCCUGUGUCCUCCUCAGAGCCUGGGUCACGUGGUGCUUUCUGUGGCCCACUGCCUCUGCCUCUUGAAUCAACUUUGUGACUAAAGCACCGUGCACUGUGCUUUGCAUGGUCCCGACUGUCUGGUUUGUCGGGGACUUGGGGGCUUUUCCAGAUGCGGGACUUUCAGUGCUGGACCUGGGAAAGUCCGGGGUAAACCAGAUGAGUCAGCGGCCCUGCCUCUUGCUCUAGAUAAGUAAGGCGUGCAGAGGUCAACGCUACAGCUCUCUCCAUCUAGGGGAUCUUCCCUCACUGUGAGUGCAGAGAAGGGGGCUCCCGUGUGCCCUGUGCCAUGUGCCGUGUGCCGGGAGAGGAGGCUGGAUCUGAAGGUGGGUGGAGCCGGGACAAUACUAGAUUAGGGGCUGCCAGCAGUUUCUCCUUCUGCUUUGUUAGUUUUUGAGAUGGCAUCUUGCUCUGUCACCC